rnacentral:lncRNA from 1 species
CUCGGAGUUGCGUUGGGGAGGCUAUAGUGCGAUGGUAACGCUGAAGUGCGAUCAUCUACGCCAAAAUGAGAUGAUCCCGACGCUGAUGCGUUAUAAAGUCAACAGAAGUCAAAUUAUAAUAAAAACUAGAUUUAAUAAUUGUUAGUACGUGGUAUAUAUAAGUUUACCUCCAUUAUUCAUGGUCUAUGGAUGUCCUUACAAUUGCAUACUAAAUGAGAGAUCGUCCUCCUUGAUUUUCUUCAUGUGGGAAUAAUUCUGCAUUAGCAUUUUAUCUGUAAUACGUUGUUUCAUUCAUAAACUACUCGUUCACCACAAAUAUACAAUGAAGAGAUGUCUGUAAUGCUGUAACUGAAAAAUGUCACGCCCAAUCGUUCAUAAAACAGAGCCUUUUGUAUAUUUAAAAACAAACUUUGCUGCAGAAGAUUAUCUCCCCUAUCAACAAAUCCGUAUCGUUCUCCGUAAUUUAAAAAGUUUAUAAGCCUCUUGUCAACUGGGAUACGAUUUUUUACAUACAAAUUUACAUCUACAUCGACAUGAAAACAUUGCAAACUGUAGUUUGUGAAGACCAUAGCACAUCAGCGUUACCACCAUCGCAAUUCGGCAUAGCUAUCAUCAAAAUGGCGUCACCAUGACACCAUCUCACUUCAGCGAGAUCAGAAACGCACUUCAGUGUAAAAUCAUCACACCUGAGCGUGACCAUAGCGGUUCGGAGUACCAACGCGGUUCGGAAUACUAUCGCUGUUCACAGUCCUAUAUAUGAUAUAUACAUCCUCUAUCAUAUUCCAUAUAAAUACAGGUGACAAAAACUGUCAAUAUAGGUUCAAUUUGGGUACCCUCACAUUAAAAUCUAUAUACAAAACAUUUGAACCAUAAGAAUUUUUCUCUCUCUCUGUAUUACAUUAAUGGUAAUUGUACAUGUUUUGUGCAUAUUCGUGGUUUUGGUAAGGGUUUACAUAUUUUAUUUUUACAAAUAACUGACAACAAUUUGUGACUACUGUUAUGAUAUUGUAAUUUUUGUAUUUAUUUAUAUUGG